rnacentral:rRNA from 1 species
UACGAAGGGGGCUAGCGUUGCUCGGAAUUACUGGGCGUAAAGGGCGCGUAGGCGGAUAGUUUAGUCAGAGGUGAAAGCCCAGGGCUCAACCCUGGAAUUGCCUUUGAUACUGGCUAUCUUGAGUUCGGGAGAGGUGAGUGGAACUCCGAGUGUAGAGGUGAAAUUCGUAGAUAUUCGGAAGAACACCAGUGGCGAAGGCGGCUCACUGGUCCGGUACUGACGCUGAGGUGCGAAAGCGUGGGGAGCAAACAGG